UACGGAGGGGGCUAGCGUUGCUCGGAAUCACUGGGCGUAAAGGGUGCGUAGGCGGGUCUUUUAAGUCAGAGGUGAAAUCCUGGAGCUCAACUCCAGAACUGCCUUUGAUACUGAGGAUCUUGAGUUCGGGAGAGGUGAGUGGAACUGCGAGUGUAGAGGUGAAAUUCGUAGAUAUUCGCAAGAACACCAGUGGCGAAGGCGGCUCACUGGCCCGAUACUGACGCUGAGGUGCGAAAGCGUGGGGAGCAAACAGG
rnacentral:rRNA from 1 species